UACGUAGGCGGCGAGCGUUGUCCGGAAUUACUGGGCGUAAAGGGCGCGUAGGCGGCUUGUUAAGUCUGGAGUGGAAGUCCUCUUUUCAAGGGAGGAAUUGCUUUGGAAACUGGCGGGCUUGAGUGCAGGAGAGGUUAUCGGAAUUCCCGGUGUAGCGGUGAAAUGCGUAGAGAUCGGGAGGAACACCAGUGGCGAAGGCGGGUAACUGGACUGCAACUGACGCUGAGGCGCGAAAGUGUGGGGAGCAAACAGGAUUAGAUACCCCUGUAGUCCCUGAG
rnacentral:rRNA from 1 species